rnacentral:rRNA from 1 species
UAAUACGAAGGGUGCAAGCGUUAAUCGGAAUUACUGGGCGUAAAGCGUGCGUAGGCGGUUCGUUAAGUCUGUCGUGAAAGCCCUGGGCUCAACCUGGGAAUGGCGAUGGAUACUGGCGAGCUAGAGUCAGGUAGAGGGUGGCGGAAUUCCCGGUGUAGCGGUGAAAUGCGUAGAGAUCGGGAGGAACAUCUGUGGCGAAGGCGGCCACCUGGACCAUGACUGACGCUGAGGCACGAAAGCGUGGGGAGCAAACAGG